rnacentral:rRNA from 1 species
CCUACGGGAGGCAGCAGUAGGGAAUCUUUCACAAUGGGCGAAAGCCUGAUGGAGCAACGCCGCGUGCAGGAUGAAGGCCUUCGGGUUGUAAACUGCUUUUAUUAGCGAGACAUAUGAUGGUAACUUAUGAAUAAGGAUCGGGUAACUACGUGCCAGCAGCCGCGGUCAUACGUAGGAUCCGAGCAUUAUCCGGAGUGACUGGGGGUAAAGAGGUGCGUAGGUGGCAUGUCGAGUCAAGGGGGAAAUCCCCGCGCUCAACGUGGGAACUGCCUUUGAAACUGGCAAACUGGAGUGUGUGAGAGGAUAGUGGAAUUCGAGGGGUAGCAGUGAAAUGCGUAGAUAUCUGGAGGAACAUCAGUGGCGAAGGCGACUAUCUGGCACAUAACUGACGCUGAGGAGCGAAAGCGUGGGUAGCGAACAGGAUUAGAUACCCCGGUAGUC